rnacentral:rRNA from 1 species
UGUGAAGAUGAUUAAUUUAUACAAAAGAAAAUCCAUAAUUCCAAAUUCCAAAUUACUCAGUUAAAUUUUAUCCAAUUAUUAAGCAUCCCAUCAAUAAAGAUGUAAUUGCCAAAUUAUUUUUCCUUAGAGAGUUUCUUAUUCAAAAUACUGGCUGUUUUGACUUUAGAUUAUUUGGAGCCUCUCAUUUAUAAUUAUUUUUGAACUAUUACAUACUUUCUAAUUUGUUGUCGUUUUCAAUGAAAAUAUUAAUUUCAAAUGAAAAAUCAAAGAGAAAAAAAUACUUUGUUAUUUGAAUUAUGUUUUCUCUUUCUUUCAUGAAAAUUUAAGUUCUCAAAUUUAAAGUCUUGAAACUUGCAAUUUUCAUGUUUUACAAAGAAUUAUAAAGAUUAUUUAAUUAAAAAUUCUAAUAUAGUUUUCUAGAAUUAAAUUUAUACUAAAUAAAUCAUUAAUUACUAAAUUAAAUUAGUAAAUGACUAAAUUACCUUAAUUGAUUUAUGCAUUUUAAUAUUAACAGUCAUAUUAAAAUCAUAAUUGAAGAAUAAGUUAAAAAUUUAAUAUAGAAAAGUAAGAAACAUGAAUUUUUAUUAAAAUAAGAAUUAAGAAAGAAUGAAUUUUAUUGGAGAAGGAAUGUUUUAUUACUAGAAAGUAUCAAAAUAAUAAAAUUAAUUCUACUUACCAAUAAGUAGAUGAAUCCAAAAUUUUAUACAUCAUAAAUAUUAUACUUCAUAAGUCAUAAAAAGUUAAUUUUUUUAAACCAAUAAUAUAUUUCUUCAGUAAGAAAAAGGGAAAUAAUUUAUAAAAUUAUUACAAUUGAUGACCUCUACAGAGAACUUCUAAUAUGAAAAAAGAGUGAUAGACAAAUUUACUGAUUAACUUAGUAAGUAAUCCUUUAGUUAAAAAAUUAAUUAGUUAUUUAUAACUUAAUAUUAAUAAUUAAUAAUUUAUUAGUAUAAAAUUAAUUCUAGAAGUUAACUAUUUUUAAUUAUUUAAUAUAAUUAAAUCUAAUUUUAGACACUCUCAAUAAGUAGAAUUUUUAUAAAAGAUAAUAAAGUUCCUUAUCUUCUUUAGACUUAAUUAUUUUAAACUAAAAGUUCAAUAAAUAGGUUUUUAUACUCAUAAUUAAUUUUUUAUGCACGGAUUGAUAAUCAUUAGAUAAGGAAUGAUCAAUAUAGUAUAAUUAUCACAUACAACGACCGGCCAAUUUUUCAUAAAAGAACAAAAUAAAAGGGAUUGACGAAUUUAAUGAUUUCCAGUAUUAUCAUAUUAAUUAUUAAUAUUAUUUAUUAUUAUAUUAAUUAUCAAUAUUAAUUUUUAUUAAAUUAAUUAUUGGUAAAGUCUCAUUAAUUUUUUAGUUAAUUACGUUAAUUUAUUUAUUUAGUAAUUUAAUUUAUUAAUUAUAAUUCAUGUAGCAGGAGUCUAAUUCUAAGUUCAAUAUAUAUAUAUAUAUAUAUAUAUAUAUAUAUAUAUAUAUAUAUAUAUCACCUAAGGUUCGUCCACAGUGGGUGAGUCAGGCGUAGUCGAUGGACAACAAUUGAAUAUUCCUACACUACCCCUUAUUGGUCUUGAGGACGGAGGAGGCUAGGUUAGCCGAAAGAUGGUAAUCGGUUCAAGGACGCACGGUGUCCCUGCUUUUUCAGGAUAAGAAGGGGUAGAGAAAAUGCCUCGAGCCAAUGUUCGAGUACCAGACACUACAGCGUUGAAGUAACCCAUGCCAUACUACCAGGAAAAGCUCAUACGACCUUCAAUAAAAGGGUACCUGUACCCGAAAUCGACACAGGUAGGUAGGUAAAGAAUACCUAGGGGCACGAGACAACUCUCUUGAAGGAACUCUGCAAAAUAGCCCCGUAACUUCGGAAGAAGGGGUGCCUCCUCACAAAGGGGGUUGCAGUGACCAAGCCCUAGUGACUGUUUAUAAUAAACACAGGUCUCUACAAAGUCGUAAGACCAUGUAUUGGGGAUGACGCCUGCCCAGUGCCGGAAGGUCAAGGAAGUUGGUGACCUGAUGACAGGGGAGCCGGUGACCGAAGCCCCGGUGAACGGCGACCGUGACUAUAACAGCCCUAAUGUAGCAAAAUUCCUUGUUGAGAAAGUUCCGACCCGCACGAAAGGCGUAACGAUCUAGGCACUGCCUUGGAGAGAGGCUCGGUGAAAUAGACAUGUUUAUGGAGAUGUGGACUACCUGCACUUAGAUAGAAAGACCCUAUGAAGCUUCAUUGUUCCCCGUGACUGGCUUUGAGCCUUUCCUGCGUAGCUUAGGUGGAAGGCGAAGAAGGCCCCCUUCCGGGGGGGUCCGAGCCAUCAGUGAGAUACCACUCUGGAAGAGCUAGAAUUCUAACCUUGUGUCAGAACCUACAGGCCAAGGGACAAUCUCAAAUAGAUAGUUUCUAUAGGGCAUAGGCCUUCCAAAAGAUAACGGAGGUGUGCAAAGGUUUCCUCGGGCCGGACGGAGAUUGGCCCUCGAGUGCAAAGGCAGAAGGGAGCUUGAGUGCAAGACCCACCCGUCGAGCAGAGACGAAAGUUGGCCUUAAUGAUCCGACAGUGCCGAGUGGAAAGAGCAUCGCUCAACGGAUAAAAGUUACUCUAAGGAUAACAGGCUAAUCUUCCCAAGAGUUCACAUCGACGCGAAGGUUUGGCACCUUGAUGUCAGCUCUCCGCCAUUUGGGGCUGUAGUAUGUUCUAAGGGUUGGUCUGUUCUCCCAUUAAAGCGGUACGUGAGCUGGGUUCAGAACAUCGUAAGACAGUUCGGUCCAUAUCCAGUGUGGGCGUUAGAGCAUUGAGAGGACCUUUCCCUAGUACAAGAGGACCGAAAAGGACGCACCUCUGGUGUACUAGUUAUCAUGCCCACGGUAAACGUUGGGUAGCCAAGUAUGGAGUGGAUAACUGUUGAAAACAUCUAAGUAGUAAGCCCACCCCAAGAUGAGUGCUCUCCUAUUCUGACUUCCCUAGAAACUUCGGUAGCACAGCCGAGACAGCAACGGGUUCUCUACCCCUGCAGGGGUGGAGUGAUAGAAGUUUUGAGAAUUCAAAAGAAGGUCACAACAAGACCAGCCGUUUAUCAUUAUGAUAAGUGUCAAGCGGAAGUGCAGUGAUGUAUGUAGCUGAGCCAUCCUAACAGACCGGUAGACUUGAAC